CAGCUUUUAAUAUUAAUUUUAACACCAAGCAACUUGACUCCCAAGGAGUUUUUAAGUCAAAACACAUUUGAUUUUUGCUGAGCAGUUUGGGAUGGCAGAAUAAGCAGUUAUUGUCCGCUAAUGGACUGAAAGUAAGUGGAAAAAGGAGUAGCCAAAGUCUUCAUAAAAACUACAAGAUCUUCAGAAAGUCUUGGACACUGUUGAUAAAGACUAUUCUGGUGGAUUAUUUAAUAUGUAGAAUCAAAAUGUCUGAAUAACACCAAUCCAACUGUAAACGCUUUGAUUUCCCUGAUUUCCCAGUUUUCCUGAACUCCUCAUUGACCUGUUUGCGCAACAGAUGCUAGUGAGGCUAACGUUAGCCCAGCGAACCACUACAACGUCGGAGUUUAAUAAAUGCCAACUCGUUUCAACGCUUCCAAACGACGGUAAACACUAAUGAAAUGGGUGACCAGACUGAAACCUCUGGAGAGACUGCUGCUGCUGCUUGUUCUGGAGGAUGUCGACCUUGAAGAGGCUUGGUGGAUUUCAGCGAACGGUCGGCCGUCAUGGACUUGGACCGCAGCGUCAGCGACGUGCUAGGGGCUCGCUUCGGAGGGGGCGGAGCUAAGAGGUUGGUUUCUGACUUCCUGGAAACCGAGACGACCUUCAUCAGCAGGCGACUUCCUCCCUGUCGGAUCAGAGAGACCACCUGGCGGUGA